rnacentral:rRNA from 1 species
GACGAACGCUGGCGGCGUGCUUAACACAUGCAAGUCGAACGGAAAGGCCCUGCUUUUGUGGGGUGCUCGAGUGGCGAACGGGUGAGUAACACGUGAGUAACCUGCCCUUGACUUUGGGAUAACUUCAGGAAACUGGGGCUAAUACCGGAUAGGAGCUCCUGCUGCAUGGUGGGGGUUGGAAAGUUUCGGCGGUUGGGGAUGGACUCGCGGCUUAUCGGCUUGUUGGUGGGGUAGUGGCUUACCAAGGCUUUGACGGGUAGCCGGCCUGAGAGGGUGACCGGCCACAUUGGGACUGAGAUACGGCCCAGACUCCUACGGGACGCAGCAGUGGGGAAUAUUGCACAAUGGGCGGAAGCCUGAUGCAGCAACGCCGCGUGAGGGAUGACGGCCUUCGGGUUGUAAACCGCUUUCGCCUGUGACGAAGCGUGAGUGACGGUAAUGGGUAAAGAAGCACCGGCUAACUACGUG